UGGGGAAUUUUGGACAAUGGGGGAAACCCUGAUCCAGCCAUCCCGCGUGUGCGAUGAAGGCCUUCGGGUUGUAAAGCACUUUUGGCAGGAAAGAAACGUCAUGGGUUAAUACCCCGUGAAACUGACGGUACCUGCAGAAUAAGCACCGGCUAACUACGUGCCAGCAGCCGCGGUAAUACGUAGGGUGCAAGCGUUAAUCGGAAUUACUGGGCGUAAAGCGUGCGCAGGCGGUUCGGAAAGAAAGAUGUGAAAUCCCAGAGCUCAACUUUGGAACUGCAUUUUUAACUACCGGGCUAGAGUGUGUCAGAGGGAGGUGGAAUUCCGCGUGUAGCAGUGAAAUGCGUAGAUAUGCGGAGGAACACCGAUGGCGAAGGCAGCCUCCUGGGAUAACACUGACGCUCAUGGACGAAAGCGUGGGGAGCAAACAGG
rnacentral:rRNA from 1 species